UUAAUAGGGCUGCGUAGCAGGUUACUUUGAUAUAGUAAAUUGUGAAUUAUUUUCCGUUAAU
rnacentral:tRNA from 1 species